GUGUAGUGUCCAGUGUGUUUUUGUUUUGCUCCAACUUUUUUCUAUUUUGUUUUUGUUGUUUGAUGGAGGGUAAAUAAUUAUUAGUGAAAAUUGUGCAAAUACGGUUCACGGAUUUUCCGAAUAGUAUUUCAGCACCGAGCAGACUCCCGCCGCGGUUGCGUUCCUGUUUCAUGGGUUGCCAAAUGAUGGUUUGGACGUUAACGCUCCGAACCAACGCAAGCGGGCAUUCUUGCACUAGGACUUCUUAGUGCACGUGGAACGAACCAUACAGGACUUCAGUCGACCAAAGGCCAUGCUCGCUCGGGUCGUUGGCAAUCUUAACGGAAAAGAUUGCAGCUUCAUUUUUAACAACAAAAAACAGCUUGCUGAACAUCGCUGAAUGAGAUGUUGAUUCAGACACCGCCACUACUCCCCAGCACAGGUACAGUUGAAGUUCUUAGUAAACUUUGUAACUGACGUUUCUUCACCUGAAUAAGAUCAACAGCAGCGCGAAUUGCUGCUAGUCGAUCUUUUAGAAUCAACACAAUCAGACCUCCAACGGAUAUGCCAGCUCGGCUCCUCCACGUUAGUGACGGACUGGUCAAACUUUUCGGCUGCUUACGGCAAGUGCUGCAUGAUCAAACCGCUGAACAGCGAGUUCUCAGCCAUGUGUAAUGCGUGCAGUUACGUCGUUCCGGCUUGAAGACGACAACAACGAACUGGUUCUAGCCUCAUAACUACAGGCGGCCAAAUGUUUUAGGUUUUGAAGCUUUUUCAUCAAACACGAGGAGCGAACGAACGAGCUCAAUUAGUUUUUACAAUACGAUCUCUA